GGUAGACUAGUAGAGUAUAUACUGUUACUUCUAUCAGUUGUACUAGUAGUAUCUACAUUGACUGGAUCUACUAACAAUUACUACAAUGAACCUACUGGUAAUAAAGGAGUCACAGAUUGUUCUGCUACUAAGAAAAUUUUUGAAUUCUUUAAUGCAUCAUUAACUUCAUAUACAUUGAAAAGAGGAGACAGCAUACAAUUGCAUGCAGAUCUACAGAUUAAGAGGACCAUACAAGGGGGUAUACUGCAUGUCACAAUGACACAAAAAUUCAAG